UUUACGCUUUGCACGACCCUGAAAGCUGGUGAGCAGUACCACCACCACUACUACAUACUAUCAUAGUCGAAUCUGGCGUUUAACAUCAGUCUGAGGUCCAACUGGAAAGGAAGCCCUGGCGCUGUGAACGAGAACGUAGAGUUUGACGCUUCAACUCGUUAACUCUGGUCGCUCGCUAGCUACAUAAAAUUCACAGGGCGACUCCGCGGACUGAUACUGUUCGACACACGCCGGGAAACGUCAGGAGUAUUUCUACUGUAGAAUCAAGUCCACCCUGUGUAGCCAUAUGAAGCGGUGUCCAAUGCAACUGAACGACAAAAGGUAUAACAAGACAGGAUAAAUACCAAAUUGAUGCAGCAAUACUAUAUUUAUAAGAGUAUUUCUACUGUGGAAUCACGUCCAUUUUCUGCAGCUAAAUGAAGCGGUGUCCGAUUCAUCUGAAAGACAAUGUUUAAUGAUAACAGAAGAUAAAUACCAAAUUGAUGCAGCAAUAAUAUAUUUACAAGUAAACCUUACGCGC